CUCAUUCCAUCUUAUUUGCUAACACUUGGUUUUGUGGUAGAUGUGAUUUGGGGCUUGUUCUUCAAAAGAUUUUCAAAUUUUGGCUUCUGUGUUUGCCUGAAUCUUUGAAAUAGCCCAUGAAAUGUUGUGACAUUGGAACAGUUUUCAUUUUUUUCCAUGUCUCCAAAACACUAGAAUAGUAAAGCAUGAUUAGAUUUGUUAAUGUGGCUAAUAGUUGAACCAAAAAUUUGCAUUACAUUGCCAACAAUAAGCACAAUGUAACUGGCAUAAUGCUGAUUGGCAGCUGCUUUCAUUUUAUUACAUUUUAAAAAACAAUCAUCUUAUAUAUACUACAAAUGUUCCUUUUCACUUCCACAUUCAAACAUGUUUUAAAAGUUUGCAUUUGAUACAGAAUGUGAUGUAUUUACAUUCUUAUCAUGUGUACAUUGCUCAUCCAUUGUCUCCAUAAUUUGCCUCUUUCAUCCAUCAUCCAUCUUACUGACCAAUGACCAUAAAUGACUUCACCUGCCUGCUGAUGACCUUUCACCCUGCAUUGUGAACGUACUUCUGAUGACAUCCUCGCCAUUCCUUAAUCCUCGCCAUCACAGAGGGUAAAUCAGUGGACCUGUCAAUUCAUUAAAUAGAAGUAACUUGCACUCUUUAUUGGGUAGCUUUAAACUGUUGUGAAGUACAGAAUAUAUUUCUGCCUUGUAAUUGAUGGUAUAAUAAUGAAUGAAGCCUAUUGGCAACCAGCAGUAUUGUGCACGUUUCUAGCCACCAAAUUCUUUUUGUCAUUAAUUUGUCCUGGUUUUUUUUUGCCCUUUCUUCUACCUCUCCACUUUCUGUAGGGGAGCCAGACAGGCCUGUACUGUCUUCUACUGAUGGCAAGUUAGAGGGAAACUCCUACUCCAUCCCAAUCAAACAGCUGGACGAUGGAGGACAGCCCAUUCAACAUUUCUUAGUGCGCUACAGGAUGGAAAAGGAGGGUGAGAACUGGAUAGAAAAGGAAAUGCCUGCUAACUCCACCAAGAUUCAGCUACAGGAUCUGCAGUACAACUCAGACUACCAGAUGGAGGUCUUCGCAUUUAACAUUAAUGGCUCUUCUGGGCCAGCCAAACUCAAUUUCACCAUUCCACAGGCUGUGAGUAAACCUAGCUUGGGUAAAGGUGGAGUGGCUGGAAUUGUCAUAGUUGUCUUCCUGGUGUUGCUGGUGGCGGUGGAUGCAUUCUGUUGCUAUACAAACCACUGUGGCCUGCUCAACUUCCUGGCCAGAAAACUGUUUGGCCACAAGAUGUCUGAGGCUAAGAGCUUGGAGGAAGGUGUGAUCAACAAUGCUGCUGUAGACAUGAAUGGGCUAGAGAAACCGAGGGGUAGCAUCCCAAAACUACAGGCACAAAAGGGGGAGACGAACGGGGUACAUUCAGAGGUCACGUGCGACAAAGCUCCCCUCACCAAAUUCGAGAAACCACCUGCCAAUGGUGACUCAUCCAACGAAGCGCGACUUUGAAGGCUUUACUUCAUUGUAUUUUUAGAGGAAACACAACUCAAAACUCAAAAUAAUGGCCCAAGGAACAUAGGUUUCUGGAAAACCGAUGCUAAGGUGUAGCUCAAGAAUGUAAGAGGGAUUUGUCUGUAUAAUAGCAAAUAAUCUUGAGACGGAGAUGGUUAACCACAGGUGUUGAAAUACACACAGUUGGUGCAGAUAAGGAAGGCGCUGUUAGGUCAGAUCCAAAUAUAGGAUUAAAAUGGAGAGUGAAUUUAAGUAAGCAGCUAACUGUUUCUACAGUACCUAAUUAAUAAUAUUGUUCACUGUUAAAGCAAUAAUGCAUAAUGACCCUUCACUAAGCCCCACCCCUUUGCUUCAUCUGACAAGCUUUCAAAUUUGUUAACUUACAUUUACAGCAUUUACAUUGACGCUCUUAUCCAGAGCGACUUACAAUUUGAUUAUUUUUACAUAGGUAGGCCAAGGCAGUGUUAGGAGUCUUGCCCAAGGACUCUUAUUGGUAUAGUGUAGGGUGUUUGCCCAGGUGGGGAUUGAACCCCAGUCAACAGUGUAGAAGGCAGAGGUGUUAACCACUACACUAUCCCAACCUUGCAGGGAUAGACUAUUAACCUCUGAAUUUUUCAACAAUAAUUAGAUGAAAAUAUAUCCAAAAUAUUAGCGAGGAGUACACAAAAAGGUCUCCUAUAGAAAGGCUACAUAGAUGCAGAUCAGUUUAGAUGACUUGAAUCAUCUACGCCUACAUACAAGACAGAUCAAUUGACGACAACAUGUAUUUUAAAGAUAAUGUAUUGUGUUUGCCCUGGCGCUCUCUACGUGCUCAGAGCUGUUGCUAAAUAUUAAUUUAUUUUCAUUAUUUGAAGUGUAUAUUGAAUUAACCAUUGUUUGCACCAUUUUUGGACCCAUUGUAGCCUCUUAAACUCCUUGGGACCUCCGGUGGUUCCAAAACGCACUUCGUCAUGUUCUUCAUAACUUUCAUAUUUCAUAAGCUACAUUCAGAAGCUGAGCGUCGUGUGAGGCUGUAACUCUUCUCUCCAGUCUAAUAGACGGUGAUGUCAUUUUAAACCCUUAUAAUAAAAGAAGCUGAACUUUUCCAAAAAAAAAACAAAAAAAAAAGAAUAAAUAAGUAAAUAAAAUAAAAAUUUACAUUUAUUUCAUGCAGUUACUUGGUUCUGUAAAUUCAGAUAAAAGAACCAAAAUAUACCCUGGAGCAUAAGAGGUUAAAGUUCUGAAAGCUUGUCAGAGAUGCCCACACCACCUAGUUACCGUUUCGAAGCUGUGAUUGGAUGAUGAUAUUAAGGGGAGGGGUUUGAUGCUCGCUCAGAGGCCGUACAUUACGCUGCUUUUCUCUGAUAUGCUGUACAUACUGCAUGUAGUUUUACAAGAACUACAAUUAGGCUUUGUGAAUUUCAGCAUGCUGUAUUGUGAAAGCAGUUAUUAUGGGAGUAUACUAAUUCACAUGUAUUAUUACUGCUAAUUUAUUGUAAAUUUAAUAUAUCCUUAUAUUAUUAACAGCAACAAGUCUUGAAUGUUUUGCUGUUUUAUUGUUUUUUUUUUAGCUUCAACUGUUGAAGAACAUGUCUGUAUUUGAAACUGCUGACAUUGCUUUUUAUUGUUCAUUUCUGGCUGAUGGCAGAUUGUUAAUAGCAACUUACAAUUGGAUGUACAAACGUAUUUGUAUAAUUCAUGCUUCAGACUGCACUGUAUAUUUUUGUACAUACAUAUAUUGUCAGUUUUUACACUCUGUAACAUAUUUUACAAAAACAUUGUGAUCUGUGUGAAAUUUAUAAAUUUACAAUUAUG
ensembl:lncRNA